CAAGAAGUUUCGGAAAGGCCCAUCAUAGCUUCGCUGUUUUCCAUAACAACCGGGGACGCUUUCUCCUGAUUGGCUGCUGCUACAUCCUGUGUUUUCAGGCCUCGCUAGCAGAUGCUAUUUUAAACCACACUCCCUUCACGAGCUGGGGAUUAACAAGUACAUCUUAGAAAAGGCGUAAAUCAGUACUAUCAUACUUGUCUAUCGGCGGCCGUUCGAGUGAAGGAAUCUGAUAAACAUGAGUUAGUAACUUAGACACGGAAAAGAAAGCUGAGCUGCACCGACUGUUGACAACGGUUCUUCUGCGGAAUUACUGACACCAACGUUAACUUAAUGUGAAGCUUCCAGCUCCUCAUUAAUGAAUAAAGACAAGUCAGCGGUGAAAACAGCUCUUCUGUUGUGUCGCCAGAAUGCACAAGGGGUGGUUUGCUGGACGCCAUGUCUGCCGUUGAGUAAGAAUAAUGCCUUGAAGAUAGUGAACAUUAGCUCGGGAUUUUUUACUUAAACCAGUCAAAGCCGUUCCUUUUAGGAACAUCUACUUUAAGAAAGCUUACGUCGUGGUGAAGUGGAUGCUGUGGGUUCUUUGCCACAGUCACAGGUGAAAUCAGUGCCACUGUUAAAAUAAAAAGCUUUGCUGUAUCGUCUGGGAUGGAUCACAACAACCCAGAGAUGAUGAAAGAUACAUCACCUGGCCUGACAGCAGAUUUGGAUAAUUCUGAGUCCUUCUGUCCAGAAAAGGAGCAGUUUCAGUGCGCUGAGCUCUCAGGACCUCCAUGUUAAUGAGCCGCUAGAUGACAAAAACAAGCAGAGAAGUAUUAAAAAUUUACCAUAAGUUUUGAUACAGUAUGUAAGUUUUCAUCAUCAGAGUAGCUACGACCUAUGAUUGUACAGCUGCUCUUGUCAUUUCUUGCUUGCCUCUUGCUUGCAAACUCCACACAGAGCCCAUGGCUGGAUUCAAACCUGCCCCACAAAUUGAAAUUAAUUAAUUAUUAGGAUGUAAAUACUCACUCACACACAGACAACAUGCCAUGUUAAUUAAUAAACGAUUUUACUUCAUUAAUGAACGUUAGUUCGCUAGUGUGAAUAAAUAAUUUGAGUGCACAACUCACCGUUUCAGCAACGCUGAUGGCAUUGCUCCUCAGCUCCAGACAUCUGAUACCAUUUCCUCUGCCGAUGCAUCGGCCGUCAGUAAUAGUAGUAGUAAUAGUACCCACUCAGUGUAGCUGGUCCAUUACUGUGUGGUGGCUCGGGUGUAUGAGGGGCUGGUCUGUGUGUUGGUGGGGGAACAACAGCAGAAUGCCCAGCUGAGAGAACAAAGAUGAAAAAAGAAAAAACUAAAUUAAUGAGAUGUUAUAAUUUUUCAAGGACUUAAAGCAUACUUUAGCCACAGUAACAUCUUCAGAGUAAAGAAAACAUCUUACUGUGUGGCGGCUCAGGUGUAUGAGGUGUAGAAGAGGUCUCAGAAGGUGAGAGGGUUCCUGAAAAGAUCAAUGUAUGGUUCAAUUAAAACCAACAAACUCUAAUUACUUUAUAUUACAUCUUUAUUUAUUCACUUUUUACCAUAUUUGUACCACAGCUGCACAGCCUUCAAGAUGUAUAACAAUCAUAUAGGCCACAGUGCAGCAUUGUUUAGAAGAAAAUACAACUGAAUAUAUAAAUAUUGGCUACAAAGACAGAAAGACAACAAGAUAAGCAAAAGCAUUUAUCAGUAUAUGACCGAAGUAUAACAGAAUUACCACAGAGCAUAAGGCAAUACAUUUUAUUGAUUAACAUGACAUUACACUGUAAUUACCAUGUACCAGUGGCUCCAGCAGUUUCCUUUGGGUGACAGGCAGGUGGUCUGGACAGUGAAGCAGAGGGUACUAAAACAGACGUUAUUAUGUCAGUUAGAAACAACAGUCGCUCUUGAUUAAGACAAAGACCACUAAAAUAUUACUUCACUUGCUAAGUCUUAGAAAUUGAAGGGGUACUUCAUUAUAUUUAAAUAAACUAUUGGAAACAUAAUAGUUAUACACUAUUCAUUCACACAUUUUUGUAUGGAUCGAUGGUCAAUUAAAAUACUCUUCUUUAGCCUUUAUAUGUCUAAGCAGGGAAAGCAAUAUGAUUUUUCUUGCAUGAAGACAGAAAUGGGUACUUCCCCUCACUACUGACAAAAUCAGUUCAUGAACACUAUUGGUUACCAGGAACACCAGCAAGUGAUGAUGAUGGAGCAGCAGCUGGCAACACACAAGAAAGAUUCAAUGGUAUAACAGAUUGGCAUUUAAUCACGCUGUUUGAGCCAAAAUCCAUUUGAAUGUUCAUUGAUUUCUUUUUUGAUAUACUACUGGUACCAGUUCCUUGGUGGGUUAUAUGCUCUCCAGCUCCUUAUCAUCACCAUUCAUCACUGUGGCACAGACAGAAAGAAUUAGUGUUGUAAAAACACGUAUUUCUAUAGUGUACUCAUUAUUUUGGUUAUAAGCAUUUGUUCCAUGACCGAAUUGCAUUAUUUAUUGCUGCUGUAGUCUAUAAUUGAAUUCUCCUAAGUGUUUUCACAUAUUUUGAUAGAUUAUUUUACGUGUCCAAAAAAUCGGGAGGGGUUUAAUAACCGAGAAAAAAAAAUCCUAUGAAAGUGUGAAAUUUACAAGAAGAAAAAUCAGAAAUUCCCCGAAAUUAAUGUCAUAAUAAAUAAUAAGAAAUUACUCCGUUUUCUUCUCAAUCCGCCCAAUACAUCUACGAAACUAUCCCGUUAAUUAAUUAAGAUUCACUGAGGCUGCAGGGCUCGCUCUCUGAAUGUUGUUGUGUUCAGAACUUCAUUGCAACCGCAGUGGAGCAAAUCAGGAUGAAAUCUAAACAUAUUUUCUGAAGUGGUGUGUAUUAAUAUCCUACUUCUCAUCAUUAACACUGAGUACAGAUGCGGUGUGUAGUCCGCGUAUACAAGAUAACCUCAAGUUAACCACAAACAAAACCUGCUUAAUUUAGAGAUGCGGCGUAAAUUGCCAUGGCAACAGACCUCGGGUAACACCUAUCCAUGCGUUAUGGGUUACAGUAUGGGUUAAUCGGGAAGUUACACCCGACGUCACGAAGUUACUCCUGAAGUUACAUGAAUAAGCCAGUUACCCCGCUUCGUAGUACAGACCAGAGGUGCUGAGCGAAUAUAUAACUUUAUAUGGCGAAACAAAACGCACUAUUUAAAAAAAUCACAUCUGGUCAGAGAAAAUAAUAAAGGAGGUCUAAAAACACUAGACUUUGAAUCCAUGGUAGGAGUGUUUAGAAUAAAUUGUAUCAAAGCCUUUAUGUCACAGCCUGAAUCAAUUUGGUUUCCUAUCCCCAGAAACAUAUUUUUAAAAAAUGGAAGGGUUAGAAUGUUUGUUAUAAUGCGACUUCGAAAUUAAUUAAUUAACUACCUGUGAAGGUGUCAGAAUUUCAUAAACAAGUACUAUUCUACUGGAAGAUGAUAUUUUCCCACAAUUUUACUCCACAUGGCACCACCUUGUGGAACAAUAGAACAGUUAACAAUUAAUAGGAAAACCUUAUUUAAUCAAAUUUGGUAUGACAAAAAAGUUAUUUUUAUAACAGACCUAAUGGAUGAUAGUGGCAGGAUUUUUCAAUUAUUCUUUCAUUUAAAGAAAAUUUUAAAAUGCAGUGUUCAGCAAAAUAUGUAAAGCAAUACCACUACCUCUUGUGAACCUAAUACAAAACACGAUCUUACAAUCAAGUGUACAAGUAGUCUUGCCAGAUUUAAAGGUUGGACAAUUACAAAUCAGCUAUAGGAAAUGCAAGAAUAAAGCUAUUCGCAAAGUUUUCAACCUUAAAUUCUUUCAUGAUGCAAAAAAGUAAACAUUAAAAUAAUAGAUAAUAAAUUACUAAUCAAGGAUAAAUAUCAUAGACUGUAUAUAAAAAGAUAAAUAUGAAUACCUAAAAUGACCGAUUUCUCCAAAAACAAAAGAAAUGCAAUUUAAAAUUAUUAAUGGUUAUUAUCCAGCAGCAGAAACAUUGAGAAAAAGAUUCAGAUUUGAGGUUGACCUCUGUUGUUUCUGUCUGUAAGAGCCGGAAACUACUGAACAUCUUUUCUUCUCAUGUCAAAUUACGAUACAAUUCUGGCAAAACAUGAAAGACUAGCUUAAUGUCAGGAUUGAGAACUUAAAUAAUUUUGAAGCACACCAGAUUUUAUUAUACAAUGAAAACCUGUCCAAGGAACGAUGGGAAUUAUGGGAAAAUAUCAUAUUCACGUAUGCAAAUGGAAGAAGCAGAAACCCUCGUUGAAUUGCUUCAGGAAUGAAUUAAAGUUUUAUUUAUCUUUUUUUUAGUAUUGUCGGAUACACACCAGCCAAUACAAAAAUUGUGUCACACUAUGUUGCAAUAUUUGGUGUUUUAAUUUAGAAUAAACAGAUCAUUUCACCUGGAUUACCUUUGUUAUGGGUUUGGAACAAUAACUGAUGUUCUCAAAACUUAAUGUAACUUAUUCGUAGUAAUGUACAGUUCAUCAAUAAGUCUACCCUCAGCUAAAACUUGAGAUAGUUUUUGUUUUGUUUUCUCUGGUUGUUUGUUGGAAAAAGGAAAUAAUCUGCUACAUUUUCGAUGUGUAACUAAUGACAAAACUCUCAAAACUACAAAUGUAUGACACUGUAAAGAUAUGGUGACACAGAAAGAAGACCUAAACAAUAACUGUUGAAGGAAUGGUAAUAAUGUGCCUUAAUUAUAAUUUCUUAAUUGUUUAUUUUAUUUAAAUUUUCUAGUUUUUUUUGUGUCCUAAGUUACCUAACCAUGUGAGUUUAUUUUAUUAAUAUAUUAUAUUAAUAUAGUUUGUUUUAAUCAUAGCCUUGCUGUUCUCUUUUAUGUUUGUAUGGUUUUGGCAAACAACUUCCUGAUGAGAUUUUGUACAAUUGUGAAUUGUAAAUAAAAAACAAAAACACUGA